GACGAACGCUGGCGGCGUGCUUAACACAUGCAAGUCGAACGGAAAGGCCCCUUUGGGGGUACUCGAGUGGCGCACGGGUGAGUAACACGUGAGUAACCUGCCCUUGACUUCGGGAUAACUUCAGGAAACUGGGGCUAAUACCGGAUAGGAAUCCUUGCUGCAUGGUGGGGGUUGGAAAGCUUCGGCGGUUUUGGAUGGACUCGCGGCUUAUCAGCUUGUUGGUGGGGUAGUGGCUUACCAAGGCUUUGACGGGUAGCCGGCCUGAGAGGGCGACCGGCCACAUUGGGACUGAGAUACGGCCCAGACUCCUACGGGAGGCAGCAGUGGGGAAUAUUGCACAAUGGGCGGAAGCCUGAUGCAGCAACGCCGCGUGCGGGAUGACGGCCUUCGGGUUGUAAACCGCGUUCAGCAGGGGCGAAGCUUGUGGUGACGGUACCUGCAGAAGAAGCACCGGCUAACUACGUG
rnacentral:rRNA from 1 species